UCUGGUUUCCUUCCCAGGGCCAUGCCUCGUUAGUACUUGGAUGGGAGAUCAACUUGGAAGACCAGGGGCAGCUAGCC
rnacentral:rRNA from 12 species